UCCCCGUUUCACAGGGCAGUCUGAACAGAGUGCUCGACCCGAAGGUCGUUGGCAACAGUUCACAGGGGUUGCGCUCGUUGCGGGACUUAACCCAACAUCUCACGGCACGAGCUGACGACAGCCAUGCAGCACCUGUGCAAAUUGUGUAUUGCUACACUCGCCGGCUUUCACCGGUUUAGAGAUGCAUGUCAAGGCCAGGUAAGGUUCUUCGCGUUGCAUCGAAUUAAGCCUCAUACUCCACCGCUUGUGCGGGCCCCCGUCAAUUUCUUUGAGUUUUAACCUUGCGGCCGUACUCCCCAGGCGGAUGACUUAACGCGUUAGCUGCGCCACCUGAACGCUAAGCGCCCAGACAGCUAGUCAUCAUCGUUUACGGCGUGGACUAC
rnacentral:misc_RNA from 1 species